UUUCAUUUUUUUUUUUCUAUCCUCAGAUCAAACGCGCGGUUACCAAGACGAUAAUACGAAACUACGCGGCGAUGAUGUCAAGACUAUUAUAUUAUAAGCUUUCGAGUAGUCGGUGAUCGAUAAGUCGCGUACUCCGCAGACAAAAUAUAAUAAUAAUAAUAAUAAUAAUAAUAAUAAUAUAAUGAAAUUCAAGCGGAAUUGGCGGAAUAUACAGAGUGAUUGUUUUGUGCGAUUAUCUACAAUGGUUUUGAUUUUUUUUUUUUUUCGAUCAUUAGUAUGACGAUUCGACGCGAUGAUAUAUUUUCAAUGUUUUACUCGUAUUCCGUUGUACACCUAUACAACGUGUCUCACAAACACGGAAUUUUGAUUUCCAGAAAUAGCCACGGCCA